GGUCAGUUAGCUCAGUUGGUUAGAGCGUCGUACGUUGUUGCCCUUAACAUUCCUUUGCUAAAUUGACAACAAAGACUAACAUGCUAUAUAGGUACUAAUAAUGCGAAGGUCAUGAGUUCGACCCUCAUACCGACCA